UCACCUUCUCAAGCCCCUCCAUCUCAUCACGAUGUUCAUUGUCUUUCUUGCGAUUAUGUCGUCCUACACUACUCCAUGGUGCAGUAGAACCGGAAUGACCAAUGGAUGACGACCGCGAUACAGAAGCGCCAUUUCGAUAACGGAGAGAGGCUACACCGUUAUACACAUUUCCCAAAGAAAGCAAAUCAUCAUGGCGACCGACAGACCUGCCAUUCUCAUUACUGCUAGCAAAACUAAGUUUCGGUGGCCCAAGAAUAAUAUCGUCGUGUUCUAGAAACGUUAGUAAGGAUUUCAACAAAGAGACGGAAUCUAUCGACAAUGUCAAGGAAGCAACGUCAAAAACACGAAUUCCACAUCGACCUCAUAUCUGAUGCAGAAAAAGGUAGAAUGGAUUCACAUUAUAAUCAAUCCUGUAGUAAACAACCAUAUGACAUUUUUGCCGCAUCUUUUUGAACGU